rnacentral:rRNA from 1 species
CAUGCUAGUCGCACGGGUUAGACCCGUGGCAGACAGCUCAGUAACACGUGGCCAAACUACCCUACGGAGCGGAAUAACCUCGGGAAACUGAGGCUAAUCCCGCAUAAGGCUCCCAGGCUGGAGUGCCGGGAGCUGGAAACGCUCUGGCGCCGUAGGACGUGGCUGCGGCCGAUUAGGUAGACGGUGGGGUAACGGCCCACCGUGCCCAUAAUCGGUACGGGUUGUGAGAGCAAGAGCCCGGAGACGGCAUCUGAGACAAGAUGCCGGGCCCUACGGGGCGCAGCAGGCGCGAAACCUUUACACUGCACGACAGUGCGAUAGGGGGACUCCGAGUGCGAGGGCAUAUCGUCCUCGCUUUUCUGCACCGUAAGGUGGUACAGGAAUAAGGGCUGGGCAAGACCGGUGCCAGCCGCCGCGGUAAUACCGGCAGCCCGAGUGAUGGCCGCUGUUAUUGGGCCUAAAGCGUCCGUAGCCGGCCGAUCAAGUCCGUCGGGAAAUCCACCCGCUCAACGGGUGGGCGUCCGGCGGAAACUGAUCGGCUUGGGGCCGGAAGACCUGAGGGGUACGUCCGGGGUAGGAGUGAAAUCCCGUAAUCCUGGACGGACCGCCGGUGGCGAAAGCGCCUCAGGAGGACGGACCCGACGGUCAGGGACGAAAGCUAGGGUCUCGAACCGGAUUAGAUACCCGGGUAGUCCUAGCCGUAAACGAUGGCCGCUAGGUGUGGCGCAGGCUACGAGCCUGCGCUGUGCCGUAGGGAAGCCGUGAAGCGGCCCGCCUGGGAAGUACGUCCGCAAGGAUGAAACUUAAAGGAAUUG